AACGAACGCUGGCGGCGUGGAUUAGGCAUGCAAGUCGUACGCGAAAGAGGGAGCAAUCCCUUGAGUAGAGUGGCGAACGGGUGAGUAACGCGUGAGAAACCUGCCUUUGACAGGGGGAUAACACUCCCAACGGGGUGCUAAUACCGCAUGAGACCACGGGAUCGCAUGAUCCUGAGGUCAAAGAUGGCCUCUAUUUAUAAGCUAUCGGUCGAAGAUGGUCUCGCGUCCCAUUAGCUUGUUGGCGGUGUAAAAGACCACCAAGGCGACGAUGGGUAGCUGGUCUGAGAGGAUGGUCAGCCACACUGGGACUGAGAUACGGCCCAGACUCCUACGGGAGGCAGCAGUCGAGAGGCUUCGGCAAUGGGGGAAACCCUGACCGAGCGACGCCGCGUGGAGGAUGAAGGCCCUUGGGUUGUAAACUCCUUUAUUCGGGAAGAAGUGCGAUCAGGUGAAUAAUCUGGUCGUUUGACGGUACCGGAUGAAUAAGCUCCGGCUAACUCCG
rnacentral:rRNA from 1 species